AUCCUUUCGCUAAGGAGCUCUUAUGCGGAAACUCACGGCUACUCUUAUAGUUAGCCUUCUCGGGUUGAUCGCGCUGUCCGUGUCGACCACGGCUGCCGCAUGUGGAGAUUCUGCGGGUUCCAACUAUUGAGCCCAAAGUGAUCGCCUCGCCCGAACGCGCCGAGUGCGCACGAAAAAAGGCCUUCAUCCGACGAUGAAGGCCUUUUACU
rnacentral:ncRNA from 1 species